CAACAAGCUGCUCUAUGCCAAGGAUAUUCCCAAUUACAAGAGCUGGGUGGAGAGGUGGGCCCUGGGAUACUGCUGUGUGUGUCUCAUGGCAGGCAGGAACUGCCUAAACAACCUGUCUGAGGCUGGCCAGAUACAAGAAAAAGCCCCAGAGGCUGGCCAAACACUGAUGGCAUGAGCUUUGGCUUUUGUGACAUGUGCAUGAUUGACUCACCCAGGGUCUCUACAGGUACUACCGAGAUAUUGCAAAGAUGGCAUCCAUCAGUGACCAGGACAUGGACGCCUACUUAGUGGAGCAGUCCCGCCUCCAUGCCAAUGACUUCAAUGUCCUAAGUGCACUCAGUGAGCUCUACUUCUAUGUCACCAAGUACCGUCAGGAGAUCCUCACCUCGCUGGACCGAGAUGCCUCUUGUCGGAAGCAUAAGCUUCGACAGAAGCUGGAGCAGAUCAUCACCUUGGUGUCCAGCAGCAGCUGAGUGGGGAGAUGGUGAGGAGGGGGCUUCUCACUUCUGAGCCAUCCUCCCAGUCGGGGGAGUGUCUGGCUCUAGCC
rnacentral:lncRNA from 1 species